rnacentral:rRNA from 1 species
GUCCACGCCGUAACGAUGUCAACUAGCCGUUGGGAGCCUUGAGCUCUUAGUGGCGCAGCUAACGCAUUAAGUUGACCGCCUGGGGAGUACGGCCGCAAGGUUAAACUCAAAUGAAUUGACGGGGCCCGCACAAGCGGUGGAGCAUGUGGUUUAAUUCGAAGCAACGCGAAGAACCUUACCAGGCCUUGACAUCCAAUGAACUUUCCAGAGAUGGAUUGGUGCCUUCGGGAGCAUUGAGACAGGUGCUGCAUGGCUGUCGU